rnacentral:tRNA from 1 species
UGCCGGAUCGUCUAAUGGUAAGGCGCACGCCUCUGGAGCGUGUUAUCAAGGUUCGAGUCCUUGUCCGGCAG